rnacentral:rRNA from 1 species
GUAAUGUCUGGGAAACUGCCUGAUGGAGGGGGAUAACUACUGGAAACGGUGGCUAAUACCGCAUAACGUCGCAAGACCAAAGAGGGGGACCUUCGGGCCUCUUGCCAUCAGAUGUGCCCAGAUGGGAUUAGCUAGUUGGUGAGGUAACGGCUCACCAAGGCGACGAUCCCUAGCUGGUCUGAGAGGAUGACCAGCCACACUGGAACUGAGACACGGUCCAGACUCCUACGGGAGGCAGCAGUGGGGAAUAUUGCACAAUGGGCGCAAGCCUGAUGCAGCCAUGCCGCGUGUAUGAAGAAGGCCUUCGGGUUGUAAAGUACUUUCAGCGGGGAGGAAGGUGUUGUGGUUAAUAACCGCAGCAAUUGACGUUACCCGCAGAAGAAGCACCGGCUAACUCCGUGCCAGCAGCCGCGGUAAUACGGAGGGUGCAAGCGUUAAUCGGAAUUACUGGGCGUAAAGCGCACGCAGGCGGUCUGUCAAGUCGGAUGUGAAAUCCCCGGGCUCAACCUGGGAACUGCAUUCGAAACUGGCAGG